rnacentral:lncRNA from 1 species
AUGAUCUCUGUUUCUGUCUCUGACUCUGUCUCCGUCUCUCGCUCUCUUGGUCUCGGUCGCUGUCUCUCUCGCUUUUUGUCUUUUUUUUCUUUGCUCUCUCCCUCCGUCCCCGUUUGUCUUUUUCCUCUUCUGUCUCUAUCUCUAUCCCUAUGUCUUCUCUCUCCCCACUUUUCUCUAUCUUUCCCACUCCUCUCCUCCCCUCGUUUGUCUCUCUUCCUCUGUCUUCCCACUUCAGUCACUCUCUCUGAGUCUGUCCCUCGCCUCAGUCACGGUCUCGCUCGCUUUCUCGCUUUCCUUUUUUUCCUUUUCGGUUUCCUUCUCCCGGUCCCCAGUUUGUCUCUCUCCCUUCUGUCACUGUCGCUUUCUCUGGCUUUCACCUCCCUCCCUCCCUCUCUCUUCCACUCCCCUAACCCCUCCCGUUUGUCUCUACCCCUGGUGUCUAGGUCGCUUUCUCUCCUCUGUCCCUGUAUGUGCACACACACACACACACACACACACACACACACACACACACACACACACCUUUUUCUCCCCACUUCUCUCAGCUCUCCCAUCUUCACUCACUCUCUCUUGGUCUCUCGGCCUUUGUCACGGUCUCUCGCUUUCCCUCUUUUUUUCUUUUCUCUCCACCUCCACUCGUUUGUCUCUUCCCCCUUCUGUCUCUGUCGUUUUCUCUCCAUUUUUGCUCCUUCCAUCCCUUUUCUUUCUCUUCCCCUCCUCUCACCACCCUCACGUUUGUCUCUCUUUCUCCGGCUUCCCCCACUUCAUUCACUCUGUCCCUCUCUCCCUGGCCUCGAACACAAUCUCUCUCUUUCUCCUUUUUUCUUUACCCACUUCCCCGCCUUCCUCCUAGUUUAUCUCUUCCCCCUUCUGUCUCUAUCUCUGUGUGUCACGGUCUCGGUCUCUCCCCGUGCACCUUCUCCCUGUUUGGCUCCCGCCGGGAGAACGAAAGAGAGAACCCUUAAUAAGAUCCGGUGGCCAUCGUGCCCCUUGGCUGGCCUGCGUUCUUCUCUCAGCGCUGCAGCUGCCAAGGCCCAAGGUUAG